UACGAAGGGGGCUAGCGUUGCUCGGAAUCACUGGGCGUAAAGCGCACGUAGGCGGAUCUUUAAGUCAGGGGCGAAAUCCUGGAGCUCAACUCCAGAACUGCCUUUGAUACUGGGGAUCUCGAGUCCGGAAGAGGUGAGUGGAACUCCGAGUGUAGAGGUGAAAUUCGUAGAUAUUCGGAAGAACACCAGUGGCGAAGGCGGCUCACUGGUCCGGUACUGACGCUGAGGUGCGAAAGCGUGGGGAGCAAACAGG
rnacentral:rRNA from 1 species